rnacentral:rRNA from 1 species
AUUGAACGCUGGCGGAAUGCUUUACACAUGCAAGUCGAACGGUAGAGGGGGCAACCCCUUGAGAGUGGCGAACGGGUGAGUAAUAUAUCGGAACGUGCCCAGUCGUGGGGGAUAACGUAGCGAAAGUUACGCUAAUACCGCAUACGAUCUAAGGAUGAAAGCGGGGGAUCGCAAGACCUCGCGCGACUGGAGCGGCCGAUAUCAGAUUAGGUAGUUGGUAGGGUAAAGGCCUACCAAGCCAACGAUCUGUAGCUGGUCCGAGAGGACGACCAGCCACACUGGAACUGAGACACGGUCCAGACUCCUACGGGAGGCAGCAGUGGGGAAUUUUGGACAAUGGGCGAAAGCCUGAUCCAGCCAUUCCGCGUGCAGGAUGAAGGCCCUCGGGUUGUAAACUGCUUUUGUACAGAACGAAAAGGUUUCUAUUAAUACUAGGAGCUCAUGACGGUACUGUAAGAAUAAGCACCGGCUAACUACGUG